rnacentral:rRNA from 1 species
CCCAGAAACCAUAUGGGCGAAUGAAUUCCCGGCGCGUAUUCGCCUUAGAGUUUGAUCCUGGCUCCCGACGAACGUUGGCGGCGCGCCUAACACAUGCAAGUCGAACGAGCGAGAGAGAGCUUGCUUUCUCGAGCGAGUGGCGAACGGGUGAGUAACGCGUGAGGAACCUGCCUCAAAGAGGGGGACAACAGUUGGAAACGACUGCUAAUACCGCAUAAGCCCACAGCUCGGCAUCGGGCAGAGGGAAAAGGAGCAAUCCGCUUUGAGAUGGCCUCGCGUCCGAUUAGCUGGUUGGUGAGGUAACGGCCCACCAAGGCGACGAUCGGUAGCCGGACUGAGAGGUUGAACGGCCACAUUGGGACUGAGACACGGUCCAGACUCCUACGGGAGGCAGCAGUGGGGAAUAUUGCACAAUGGGGGAAACCCUGAUGCAGCGACGCCGCGUGGAGGAAGAAGGUCUUCGGAUUGUAAACUCCUGUUGUUGAGGAAGAUAAUGACGGUACUCAACAAGGAAGUGACGGCUAACUACGUGCCAGCAGCCGCGGUAAAACGUAGGUCACAAGCGUUGUCCGGAAUUACUGGGUGUAAAGGGAGCGCAGGCGGGAAGACAAGUUGGAAGUGAAAUCUAUGGGCUCAACCCAUAAACUGCUUUCAAAACUGUUUUUCUUGAGUAGUGCAGAGGUAGGCGGAAUUCCCGGUGUAGCGGUGGAAUGCGUAGAUAUCGGGAGGAACACCAGUGGCGAAGGCGGCCUACUGGGCACCAACUGACGCUGAGGCUCGAAAGUGUGGGUAGCAAACAGGAUUAGAUACCCUGGUAGUCCACACCGUAAACGAUGAUUACUAGGUGUUGGAGGAUUGACCCCUUCAGUGCCGCAGUUAACACAAUAAGUAAUCCACCUGGGGAGUACGACCGCAAGGUUGAAACUCAAAGGAAUUGACGGGGGCCCGCACAAGCAGUGGAGUAUGUGGUUUAAUUCGACGCAACGCGAAGAACCUUACCAAGUCUUGACAUCCUGCGACGGACAUAGAAAUAUGUCUUUCCUUCGGGACGCAGAGACAGGUGGUGCAUGGUUGUCGUCAGCUCGUGUCGUGAGAUGUUGGGUUAAGUCCCGCAACGAGCGCAACCCUUACUGUCAGUUACUACGCAAGAGGACUCUGGCAGGACUGCCGUUGACAAAACGGAGGAAGGUGGGGAUGACGUCAAAUCAUCAUGCCCUUUAUGACUUGGGCUACACACGUACUACAAUGGCGUUAAACAAAGAGAAGCAAGACCGCGAGGUGGAGCAAAACUCAGAAACAACGUCCCAGUUCGGACUGCAGGCUGCAACUCGCCUGCACGAAGUCGGAAUUGCUAGUAAUCGUGGAUCAGCAUGCCACGGUGAAUACGUUCNCCGGGCCAUGUACACACCGCCCGUC